GAACAAUGCAAUUUAUAACAAUGUAAAAAAUAUUCUUUUAAAAUCAAUAGCCGUUAGUGACUGAAAUUAUCACAUGCCUUAGUCCUUCAGUGUCAGACCCCAAGUUUUCUCCCUGAGUCUCUGGAACUGACAGCGUUGAGCUGGAAUCUUGGCUGAAUGAGGAAUUUUAAGGAAAAACUGUUCUGUACGGUGUCAGUCUUAAAUGGAGCAUUCUUACCAGAGAGGGUUUUGUAUUUCUCAUUGUACUUUGUAAUAUAGAGACAAGUCCGACUCUCGUUACCUUAAACUGCUUAAAUUAAUUCCACUUGCAGGGGAAAAAAAAUCGAAAAUCCGGGGAUCCACCACCGCCCCACAGCGACCACCUGCAGACCGGGAUUUCCAACCACUGAAUUCCUUGAGCCUCAUGAGCUGGACAAGGGUGCCACCUGCUGGCCAAAACUGCUCUUUAUUGGAACCGUUUUGAACUUGUUAGGAGGAAAAAAAUCUUCGUUUCCGACAUAAUUAGUACACACAACUCUAAGCUUUUACCUCAAAAUUGUAAAAGACAAUAAUUUAUAAAAAGCACACUCAAGGAACAGGGAAGCACCAUCCUCUGCCCCGCCCGCUGCCCCUCCUUCUCGGGCUCCCUCGGCCCCGCCCCCGGAAGUCCCGCCUCUAGCCCCGCUCUUGCAGUUUCUUCCGGAACUAGAAGCAAGGAUCGCCGAGGGACGGUCACACGGGCGAAUAUUGCCUUCUAAAGAUUUACUUAGCCUGAAGAAGAAUCCUAGAAGAGGAGGAAGAGGAUAGAAAAAGAGUCAGAAAUGGCUUUUUCUCAGGUAAAGUCAUAGAAAUCUUUCACCUUGUUGGCCCAGUUUUUCCUCCGUGUUCUAUCCCUUUUGGUGCUGCUUAAUGUCUGUGUCACUUUUCUCUUCUGUUAAGAUGUGAACAGAUCUUUUCCCUAAUGACCUAUGAUGUAGAUACUUUAUAAAGCGUUGAGAGUAAUGCUUAGUAUUUAAGAAAUAUUCGAACAUCUUUAGUCAUUGCUCUUGUUAUCAUCAAAAUCAUUUAGAUUUUGUCUUUGCUUUAAAGCCAC
rnacentral:lncRNA from 1 species